UUCAGUCAUUACUCCUGUCUUCAAGUGUAACAUGAGCCUUCAGAAAUCAUUUCUGCAGAAAAAAUUUCACAACGUUUUAUGGUUGCUGUAUGAUGUAGUAAUGCACACGAUGAAAAGAGUAGAAAACAAAUAUGGUAUUCAUUAAAUCCACAACUUCAUCAUGGAAGAUCAUGGGAGUAUAUAAAACGAAGAACAUAGAAGUAAACACAAGCGCUUUUAAUACCUGGUACACAUUGUACAAUUUUGGGCUGUCCCAGAGGAAAGAUGACCAAUCGAAGGGAUUUCUGUGGUCGUGGCUCCUAAACUCAAACUCAAAUUUAUUAUAUCCAUGUUAAAAAACACGAUAACAAAACAGUACACCUUACAAAACUAUUAUCAAGAAAUAUUUCUUAUUAUCAUAAUAUUUCUGUGUAAACAGUGAAACUUUUUUUGUACUUUUACUUAGUUAUGAAACUUGAGUAUCACCGUUCAUUUCAAUACUGAUAUGAAAAGCCUAUUGCUCCCAUGAGCUUUGUUUUCUUCGUGUUUGUGUUUAACUUGCUGUGUGUGUGUGUGUGUGUGUGUGUGUGUGUGUUUUAACCCCAGGGGAUCAUUAUUGUUUUUCUCUCUCGGCAUGUAAAUUAUUCCUAAAGUUCAUGAUUGAAAAACAUAAUUACCAUUAAGCACAGGAAGUAAUUUAUACUUCCUGUAUGAUGAAUCCUGUCUUUACAGAAGCCCUGCCCACAAGUCUCUCAGGGGUCUUAGCAGAUAUCAUAUUGAGCUAUCAUAUCUCACAAUCAUAAAAUGGCCUCUGAUGUGCACUGAUUCCACUAAUUUUUCAGCCAUAUCGCAGAUUUCCCAAGCUUCAUCCAUCAGGAUCACUCUCUGGGUACAACUGCCUUUUGUCCUUGUCUGACUAUAACUUUAGUGUGCUGUGUGACAUUAAAACCACAUCUUGCUAAAAACCACAAACAGUGGAAAGCAAAGCAUGGGAAAGCCUGGACUCUGCCAAUGAAUCACCAGUGGACUCAUAGAACUGCAGUCCCUUUAUCUGCUUCUGCCCAAUGGGGGAAAGGUGGGUUCACACACUACUAAGUGCACUCUUGUCCGUGAGUACCCUGUAAUAAUCUUUCCUCGGUGCAUUUUUGCUGUUAUGCUGCCAUCGAACACUUGAAUUUUCAAAGCUCCCUGUUUAAUGUCAAUAUGUCAACAGCAGAUCUUGAGUGACUGUCAUUUUUCUCUGAUUGUUUUCAACAGCGGAUCUGGAAAGAGGCCACUUUGAAACCCCUAAACUCUUAAGAGCAGGAUGCAUGUUCAGAUGGGUGGGCCCUGGAUCCCUAAAGUCAUCCCAAAAUUCUCAUCUGUGAUUGGCCGUUUCCCAAGUCGAGGAUAGGAUGUUCAAUACAAUCUCCUUGAUUUGAACUGGGGCGGGAAGCAUGUGUAAAAAAGGAUUCAAUUGGACUUUGGCCAUCCAAAAUAAAUAUCCAAUGCACUCACCUAGUGCUCUUUGCAAAGAUGCAAAUGGAUUCAACCUGAGACCCAGGAGCCUCUAAGGAAGCCCAGGUGGAUUGGAUCGAUUGGCCGUGACGAGGCUAUAAUGUGAAGAGUCAGCACAUGAAUAGGAAGGCUGCAGGAGGAAGCGAAGGACAGAUCUUCAGGAACUGGAGAAACAGCUGGUCACUGGCCUGGACUGUGCGUGUUCCCCAGGCCUGUGAUCUCAUUCGCACGAUGGACGUCCCUUGACGUGGCGAAACAGCAUCUGACUUUUCGUUCAUCACUAAAUCAAGCUGAUGAUCAGGAUCAAGUCCAAACAGCUCACAUCAUGCAGACAUUUUAUAAAGUUGUAUCCACUCAUGCUUGACUUUAUGUGUUUUUGUGUAUUUGCAGAACUGUUUUAUGGGGUAUAAUGAGAGCGGAGAGUCAUUCAGUGGAAAGACCAACAUUAACUCAUAUACAGAAGAGAAUAUACGGUAUACUGAGGUACUGUGUCUCAAAAUGGGCUCUGCAAGGGUGUACAUUAUAUAUUAUUAUGGUUUCAUUCUGCUCUAUGCGGAUUGGUCGAACAUCAUAGAUUAAUCACAACAUUUUCAUUCUAUUGUCAAUUUAUUUUUAGUUUUAUACAUCUAAACAGUAUUCAAAUUGUCCUGCAUAAUUAUAGAGAACUAAAACUAUUUAAAAAUAAAUUAAUGCCAAUGAAUCAUUCCUCAUUUUGAUUUAGUUUAUCUUGAAAUCCUAAAAUAACUACAACUGAAAUAAUUAUUAAUAAAAUCUA